rnacentral:rRNA from 1 species
CCCUUAGAUGUUCUGGGCCGCACGCGCGCUACACUGAUGCAUUCAACGAGCCUAUCCUUGACCGACAGGUCCGGGUAAUCUUUGAAUCUGCAUCGUGACGGGGAUAGAUUAUUGCAAUUAUUAAUCUUCAACGAGGAAUGCCUAGUAGACGCAAGUCAUCAGCUUGCAUUGAUUACGUCCCUGCCCUUUGUACACACCGCCCGUCGCUCCUACCGAUUGAAUGUUCCGAUGAAUACCAUGGACUGAGAGUAUGAAUGGGUUCGCCUAUUUCUGCUUCUCGGGAAGUGGAGUAAAUCUUAACAUUUAGAGGAAGGAGAAGUCGUAACA